rnacentral:rRNA from 1 species
UUUUACAAUGGAGAGUUUGAUCCUGGCUCAGGAUGAACGCUAGCGGCAGGCCUAAUACAUGCAAGUCGAGGGGUAGAGGUUGCUUGCAACCUUGAGACCGGCGCACGGGUGCGUAA